CUCGUAGCCCUUUUUCCAGAUUGGAUCCUCACUUUACUUUGGUCGUAGAUAAAGAAGAGAACUUGUCGAUUGGUCAAGCGAUUCCAGAUUCUUCUUCAUUUGCAGCAGAGAAAUAGCUGCCCAAAGGGGAUCAUUGAGCCGCGGUGGCUAAGAGCCUUUCCUUUUCCAUACAAAAAAGCUUUCGUUGAGACAAAGCAGGCAGGGCAACUAAACCCAAGAUGGAAGGAGUUCACCCCUUUCCUUUCUGUGUAGACGUCAGGAUUAUAUAAAUCCUUUUUUUUU
rnacentral:lncRNA from 1 species